rnacentral:rRNA from 1 species
AACGUAGGUGGCGAGCGUUAUCCGGAAUUACUGGGCGUAAAGCGCGUGUAGGCGGCCCUGCAAGUCGGGUGUGAAAUCCCAUGGCUCAACCAUGGAAGUGCACUCGAAACUGCAGGGCUAGAGUCCUGGAGAGGAAGUGGAAUGCUUGGUGUAGAGGUGAAAUUCGUAGAUAUCAAGCGGAACACCGGUGCGAAGGCGGCCUUCUGGACAGUGACUGACGCUGAGACGCGAAAGCGGUGGGGAGCAAACAGG